CCGAGUUUACAAACUCCCAACCCUAUGUGAACCUUACCAAUCGUUGCUUCGGCGGGCUUAGCCCCCGCGCCCUCGCCGGCGCCGGGAGAAAGGCGCCCGCCGGGGACCCCAAACCCAAUGUUUUUCAUGCAGUAUUUCUGAGUGGCAAACGCAAAAAAUAAAUCA
rnacentral:misc_RNA from 1 species